rnacentral:rRNA from 1 species
GGAUACGUCGGGCCGUGGGGCGCGGUAAAGCUAAGGGUGCAAACGUUGCUCGGAAUUGUUGGGCGGAAAGCGUACGUAGGCGGCGUAGGAAGUCCCAUGUGAAAGCCCACGGCUUAACCGUGGAAGUGCAUGGGAAACUGCUGAGCUUGAGUACGUAAGAGGAUCGCGGAAUUCCCGGUGUAGAGGUGAAAUUCGUAGAUAUCGGGAGGAACACCAGUGGCGAAGGCGGCGAUCUGGGAAGAUACUGACGCUGAGGUGCGAAAGCGUGGGGAGCAAACAGGAUUAGAUACCCCAGUAGUC